rnacentral:misc_RNA from 1 species
GAUGAAGAACGUAGCGAAAUGUGAUACUUGGUGUGAAUUGCAGAAUCCCGUGAACCAUCGAGUCUUUGAACGCAAGUUGCGCCCGAAGCCAUUAGGCCGAGGGCACGCCUGCCUGGGCGUCACACGUCGUUGCCCCCCCAUCUACUCCUUCGGGAUUGCGGGGGGCGGAUGAUGGCCUCCCGUGCGCCUCGUCGCGCGGUUGGCAUAAAUGCCAAGUCCUCGGCGACGCACGCCACGACAAUCGGUGGUUGCGAAACCUCGGUUGCCCGUCGUGUGCGGUCGUCGCGCAUCGAGGGCUCGAAAAAAUUGUCGGGCUCCGGCUCGGCUUUCAACGCGACCCCAGGUCAGGCGGGGUUACCCGCUGAAUUUAAGCAUCUCAAUAAGCGGAGGA